rnacentral:rRNA from 1 species
AACGAACGCUGGCGGCAGGCCUAACACAUGCAAGUCGAACGGAAAUAGCAAUAUUUGAGUGGCGCACGGGUGAGUAACACGUAGCUAAUCUACCUCAAAGCGCGGGAUAACGUGUCGAAAGACAGGCUAAUACCGCAUAAGCUCACGAUCUGCAGAGGGUUGUGAGAAAAGGCUUAGGUCACUUUGAGAUGAGGCUGCGGCCCAUCAGCUAGUUGGUGCGGUAAAAGCGCACCAAGGCGACGACGGGUAGGGGACCUGAGAGGGUGACCCCCCCACACUGGGACUGAGACACGGCCCAGACUCCUACGGGAGGCAGCAGUGAGGAAUAUUGCACAAUGGGCGAAAGCCUGAUGCAGCGACGCCGCGUGGGUGAAGAAGGUUUUCGGAUCGUAAAACCCUUUUACUGUGUGACGAGAACGGACGGUAGCACA